UAAACCUUCAAGUCAGACAAAUAUCAAACAAAAUCUUUCCAAUUCAACAAAAAUGAAAAGUUUAUGAUAAAAAGUCCUAUUGUCCAGCAUUGGUAACAACUGCCUACACUGCAAAGCAACUCAGAAAAGGAAGAUGGACUUAUCAAAAAGAGACUAAAAAGAGUCUGACAAUAAACAUUUGGUACAGCCCUAGCAAUAGAGCAGCUUUAGGUCAAUGAAGCCUUGCCUUUAGAUAAUUCAGAGAUAAGGGUUAAAAGGAGUAAAGAACUCCAAAUCCAAAUAUAGUAAUAAAUGCAUUAUGCCAUUACUACAUCAAAGGCAGUGGCUUCAUUUUGUUUCCCAAAGAUGUUGUGCAGGAUGUAGAUGUUUCAUAUUGUUUAAUCUGACUUCUUUUUCCUCUUCUGUUAAUUCAAUUCAUUUUGUUUUUUAACUUUUUGUAAAGCUUGGAUAGAAGCCAGUGAUUUUAAUUGAUUGCAUUGACAAAUCCCUAGAGCUUAAUCAAUAGUGAAAGUUUUAUUUUUUUAAAUUUGCAUUUUGCACUGGUUUUGCAAGUUUGGUUUAUUUAUGUGUAUAUAAUUUUUUAUAGUCUGAAAUUCAAUUUGAUCAGGAGAGCUUUCAAUUUAUUGGUGGGAUUGAUUGUGACUGACCUCUUUCUACAUUUUUGUACAAAUGCAAUGUAUUUUGUAACCUAACCUUGAAAAUGAUGUGUGCAGUUUUCUGGUGAACAAUAACUUUUUAAGCAGAUGUAUGAGUGGCAUUCUUGGCAUGUUGGGAUACAUUUACUGAUGCAUGAGCUGCUUUUUUGCAAGGACAGUACUUCAAUCAGGAGAGACUUCCUUGCAAAUAUGAACAUGUUUAUUGUAUCUGAUUGGUUUAACUAACAAUGAAACAGCUGAAUCCGAUGUCUGCUGACAAGUGAAUGCCAUGGAACAGCUGAUCAAUUAGGAGUGAUGAAAAAAGAAAUUUGAAGUCUUCCUUUAAGAACUUACGCUGAGCUUCAUUUAAAUCAGGAGAGACCUC